rnacentral:rRNA from 1 species
CAAUAGCGUAUAUUAAAGUUGUUGCAGUUAAAAAGCUCGUAGUUGGAUUUCUGGUGGGAGCGAUCGGUCUGGCGCUUAGCGCGAGUACUUGCAUCGUCUCCGGCCAUCCUUGGGGAAAGCCUGUCUGGCAUUAAGUUGUCGGGCAGAGGAUCCUCAUCGUUUACUGUGAAAAAAUUAGAGUGUUCAAAGCAGGCUUAUGCCGUUGAAUAUAUUAGCAUGGAAUAAUAAGAUAGGACUUUGGUACUAUUUUGUUGGUUUGCGCACCAAAGUAAUGAUUAAUAGGGACAGUUGGGGGUAUUCGUAUUCCGUUGUCAGAGGUGAAAUUCUUGGAUUUACGGAAGACGAACUACUGCGAAAGCAUUUACCAAGGAUGUUUUCAUUAA